rnacentral:lncRNA from 1 species
AGAGUAUCAAGUUUCCGAAACAUAAGCUAAUUCUACACAUAAUUGGAUAUCAUUCGGAUAAAGCCAAAAUAUCUUUCUUACAACUAUAUUAAAAUACAAACUAGAUCAAUUUCUAAAUAGAAACAAAGUAAACCUUCAAAAUAAAUUUGAUAAAGCAAGAUUCUUACUAUCAAAUGGUUUCUUAAUUUGAUAAAGCCACUUCGUAUGGAAGGUAAAAUACUAAGAACCGCGUUAAAAGACCACUUGCAUGAAAACAAGAAAAAUAAGUCAUUAUCAAUUCCUCAAAUUGAAAGAAGGCUUUCCUUAUAAAUUGCCAUCUGACAUAAAAAUGCUUUGACACCAAGCUCAUCAAUCCUCUGGGUAUCCAAAUCAAAGCAGACCAGUUCGCUAUAUAGAUAAGAAGAUUCUAGUUCGCUAUCUAGUUC